UUGGAACAACAGCAACCUGAAGUGGACAAUGAAAAACUUUCCCCUCUUCUGGAUUCAGAGAAAGGGCAGGAUCAAGACUUUGAGUUGGAGACCAGGGGUUAAGUAUUCUGGACUGGUUACAAUUAAGAACAGAUGGCAUUCAAGUGCAGAGAUCUAGUCACUUGCCUGAGAAGAGGGCCAGCAGGUGGGAUCACUUGAGAGAUCUGCAUAAAUAGCUGAGAUUGGAAUAGAAUAACUAGUUGCUGGUAGCAGCGUCAGUAUUUAGCUGCAGCUUGAUGCUUUGUGCCUUGAACCCAUGAAAAAUUGACUGUUGGAUUGUAAACUAUUCUUGGAAAAUACGUUGAUUCAGGAGCAGAUGGGGAUGAUUUGUGCAUGCAGCGGCAGCAGUGGGCAUGGUAUCAAAGUCUCAAGAAACUUACAACCUAAAAUUCAACUGUGGGAAAACAGUAGAAGAAAAAAGAGGUGGCAGAACAGUCAUGAGAACUACAAGGAGCUGCCAAGGAGGAGAAAGUGGCAGCAGCUACAGCAGCAACCGGUGACAUAAGAGGUGAUCAAGGCAAUGUAGAGGAAAGAGUGAUCUUUCAUUGGCUUAUUCAUGAAGACUGAUCUGCUUUGACAAUGUAGAGAGCUGAAGGGCCUCACUGAAAGAGGAUGGCAUGUUAGAGCAUCAGCAAGCAACUCUAAUAUUGGAUUUUCCCCACUUCCCACCACUGUCUUCAAUCAGAAGUCAGGAAACACCCAACUCCUAAAAAUGAAGUCUUCUCAACAUCUUCGCAUGCUGGUGAGACUUAUUUCCAUGCACAACCAACAGAAGUGACUGUGUGUCAUGGGAUAGCUUCCAUCGGACUCCAGCAUACCAAAAUGAGAACACAAGUGGAAGAAAAUAUUUCAUUUUAUCUUUGGAAACAAGAGAAGACAGCAAUCAUGCAAACCUCUUUCAAGAAUAUAGGUGCUAUUCUAUAAGGUACCACAAGUAUUGAAAUCAGCCGUCACAAUAAUGUGUUAAUUGUUUCAGGAUGCAUUCAUUUAGACUGGAGCAAAAAUUUUAAAUGAUGCCUCCAUUUCUUCAGGGAUUGACAUUGGGCAUGUGUGGCAUUUGAAAAAGCAAUAUCUGGAAGUGUCUGAACAUUCUGCUCCACUCAUUAAUGCCUUAUAUGGCUGCACUAGAUAUGGGAAUCAAAUUCACAGCUGGAAGCAGAUGAAUGGCUUAGACCCACAGCAGGGGGCUAGGAUUAAUGGAAUUUCCUUUCACUCAUCACUUUUACUGGCUAUUUUACACAUUGCUAUUACUGUGAACCCAUUGUAGAUAGUACAGAAAAUGCUCUAAUUUGUCCAUUGCCAUUACUAUGAACUGGGAUGGCCACAUACACCCAUCUCAUCUAUAUUGAAUAGAGGUUAGGUGGUUCCAAGCAUGUGCAAACACACAUUGAAUUGGCAUUUGCCUAUGUUUUUAGGAAGAUGAAUCAAUCAAUGUUUUUCAGUUCAGGCUGAGUUCUUCAGAUCUGUUAAAGAUCUAUAUGCACACACACUCUCACAUAGGGGAGAAACAUUUAUAUCUACCUACCAUGUUACAACAACCUUGGAGCCCCCAGAUGGUGUAGUGGACUAAGUGACUUGAAGGUUGGGUUGCUGACCUGAAAACUGCCACGUUCGAAUCCCACCCGGGGAGAGUGCGGAUGAGCUCCCUCUAUCAGCUCCAGCUCCAUGCGGGGACAUGAGAGAAGCCUCCCACAAGGAUGGUAAAAACAUCAAAACAUCCGGGCGUCCCCUGGGCAACGUCCUUGCAGACGGCCAAUUCUCUCACUCCAGAAGCGACUCAAGUUGCUCCUGACACGAAAAAAAAAAACAAAAAACAAC